rnacentral:rRNA from 1 species
AAACUUUACAAUGCGGGAAACCGCGAUAAGGGGAUACUGAGUGCCAGCAUCUUAUGUUGGCUGUCCGCAUGUAUAAAUAGCAUGUGUUAGCAAGGGCCGGGCAAGACCGGUGCCAGCCGCCGCGGUAACACCGGCGGCCCGAGUGGUGGCCACUAUUAUUGGGUCUAAAGGGUCCGUAGCCGGUUUGAUCAGUCUUCCGGGAAAUCUGACAGCUCAACUGUUAGGCUUCCGGGGGAUACUGUCGGACUUGGGACCGGGAGAGGUAAGAGGUACUACAGGGGUAGGAGUGAAAUCUUGUAAUCCUUGUGGGACCACCAGUGGCGAAGGCGUCUUACCAGAACGGGUCCGACGGUGAGGGACGAAAGCUGGGGGCACGAACCGGAUUAGAUACCCGGGUAGUCCCAGCCGUAAACGAUGCUCGCUAGGUGUCUGGGACGGUGCGACCGUUUCAGGUGCCGCAGGGAAGCCGUGAAGCGAGUCACCUGGGAAGUACGGCCGCAAGGCUGAAACUUAA